GAUGAACGCUGGCGGCGUGCUUAACACAUGCAAGUCGAACGGGAUCCAUCAAGCUUGCUUGGUGGUGAGAGUGGCGAACGGGUGAGUAAUGCGUGACCGACCUGCCCCAUACACCGGAAUAGCUCCUGGAAACGGGUGGUAAUGCCGGAUGCUCCAGUUGAUCGCAUGGUCUUCUGGGAAAGCUUUCGCGGUAUGGGAUGGGGUCGCGUCCUAUCAGCUUGACGGCGGGGUAACGGCCCACCGUGGCUUCGACAGGUAGCCGGCCUGAGAGGGCGACCGGCCACAUUGGGACUGAGAUACGGCCCAGACUCCUACGGGAGGCAGCAGUGGGGAAUAUUGCACAAUGGGCGCAAGCCUGAUGCAGCGACGCCGCGUGAGGGAUGGAGGCCUUCGGGUUGUAAACCUCUUUUAUCGGGGAGCAAGCGAGAGUGAGU
rnacentral:rRNA from 1 species